rnacentral:rRNA from 1 species
GUGGGUCCGUCCAGACCCACGAGGUUCGUCAAGGCCCGACGCAAUUUGUCUCCCGCUCGAAGGACGCCGCAGCCGGUUCGGCAGUGCAAACGUGACGGCCUGAGAGGCGGGCGCUGGCAGGUGGCCGGCGGUGCGCCUCGUGCGUACUGUCGGUUGUUAGCCGGCCCGUCGGUGGCACGUCGCCGGACCGAGGUAACGAGAUGCCCGCACGGGCGUCCGCGCCUCCCCUCACCGAGGCGUCGGGACUGGUGGACGCGAGCGAAGGCAGCCGCGCGGCCGCACCCCUCCGGGGUGGGUCCGCGUCUAGUCGGCGCCGUCGGCGACCACGGACCCGUUGGAGGUCGGAGGUUCGCGGCGAGUAGGUCGGUCACCCACCCGACCCGUCUUGAAACACGGACCAAGGAGUCUAACAUGUGCGCGAGUCAAUGGGUCUCGAAUAAGCCCAGAGGCGCAAUGAAAGCGAAGGUCGGCACACGCCGGCCGAGUCGGGAUCCCGCGGUCCUUCCGCGGGCGCACCGACGACCCGUCCUGUGCCGCUUGCGGCUUGGGCGGAGUGUGAGCGUACACGUUGGGACCCGAAAGAUGGUGAACUAUGCCCGGACAGGACGAGGCCAGAGGAAACUCUGGUGGAGGUCCGCAGCGGUCUGACG